AGGAUUAACGCUGGCGGCGUGCCUGACACAUGCAAGUCGAACGAGGCCGCAAGGCCGAGUGGCGGACGGGUGAGUAACACGUGACCAACCAACCUCGAAGUUGGGAAUAGCUCUGCGAAAGUAGGGGUAAUACCGAAUGUGGCCCAGGGCGGGCAUCCGCCUUGGUCUAAAGAUUCAUCGCUUCGAGGCGGGGUCGCGGCCUAUUAGCUUGUUGGUGAGGUAACGGCUCACCAAGGCGAUGAUGGGUAGCUGGUCUGAGAGGACGACCAGCCACACUGGGACUGAGACACGGCCCAGACUCCUACGGGAGGCAGCAGUGAGGAAUCUUCCGCAAUGGGCGAAAGCCUGACGGAGCAACGCCGCGUGUGGGAUGAAAGACUCUAGGGUUGUAAACCACUGUCGGAGGGGACGAUCGUGACGGUACCCUCCAAGAAAGCCCCGGCUAACUACGUGCCAGCAGCCGC
rnacentral:rRNA from 1 species